UACGUAGGGGGCAAGCGUUGUCCGGAAUCAUUGGGCGUAAAGAGCGUGUAGGCGGCCCGGUAAGUCCGCUGUGAAAGUCCAGGGCUCAACCCUGGGAUGCCGGUGGAUACUGUCGGGCUCGAGUCCGGAAGAGGAGUGUGGAAUUCCUGGUGUAGCGGUGAAAUGCGCAGAUAUCAGGAGGAACACCAAUAGCGAAGGCAGCUCGCUGGGACGGUACUGACGCUGAGACGCGAAAGCGUGGGGAGCAAACAGGAU
rnacentral:rRNA from 1 species